ensembl:lncRNA
GUAGUUAGCGGGUGAGUCCGUGCGGAGGUUUAGGCCGGGCCCAGGUUUUGGUCGCGGCGGGAAUCACAGAUGAACCCACAGGGUUUCCCUGGAAAGACCAGGUCUGCGUUGCGCAGUGUGGACGUGCCUGCUUCGUCGGGUCAAAGCGACUAUGAUUCUACAGGCAAGCUUUGGAUAUUUUAUUCUUAACUUUACAACAGCUAAAUUACUGACAGCUUACGAUUUUAGAGAACAAGUUUCUCCCACGUGAAGCAAGCCGACUGAACUGAUACCUGUUAACUCUGCAGUGGACUCUUGUCUGUGUCCGGCUUCUCUGGCCGGUUAGAUAACUCUCUUCGUACCCCAGCCCUGCUGGCACCUAAGUCUCCCAAGAAACGGAGGGGGUCUCGUAAGGCUUCAGGCUGUGCGACCCCAUUUAACUCUCAGGGACAGAUUGGGGAGUCGUCGCCGCGGGCCGGGGCGCAGCAGACUAUAAAGAGACACAGGGAAUUUUAGGGACCGGUGGAAACAUUCAUUCUGUCCUGAUGGGUGGACACAACUACCUAAGCUUGUCAGAACUCUCAGACAUGUACGAUAAAACAAUGAAUUUUACUCUAUAAUCCAUGCAUUAAUUUUUUAUUUUAAUUUUUGCCAUUUCUAGGGCCGCUCCUGAGGCAUAUGGAGGUUCCCAGGCUAGGGGUCUAAUCGGAGCUGUAGCCGCCGGCCUACACCACAGCUACAGCAACGCGGGAUCCGAGCUCACGGCAACACCGGAUCCUUAACCCACUGAGCGAGGCCAGGGAUCAAACCUGCAACUUAAUGGUUCCUAGUCGGAUUCGUUAACCACUGAGCCACGAUGGGAACUUUAGGUUUUUUUCUAUUUAAAAAAUUAAUGCCUGUGGAGCUCCGAUUAGACCCCUAGCCUGGGAACCUCCGUAUGUUGCGGGAGCUGUCCUAGAAAUGGCAAACACACCAAAAAACAAAAUAAAAAAAACCUAAAGAAAUAAAAUUGACACCCUUGGUUAAAAAAAUUGGACAAUCCUAAUAGUCACUUGAGCAGAACAGAAAAGUCAGUGAAUUUGAGGAUGGGUGAAUUGCAAAUUAAACCAACAAUGAUACUACUUUACACCCACCAGAAUGAUUAAAACUAAAAGACCAAUAUCAAAUCUUGGUGAGGAUGUGGGGCAGUUUUGGAAUUCUCAUAAACUGUGUAGGACUGUAAAAUGAGCUAACCACUUUGAGAACUGUGAGGCAUUUUCUUGCAGAGUUAAAUAUGAACCUCCCUGUGUCUCAACAGUGCAGCCCUAGGUGUGAAUAUGGAAGUUCAUAUAUAUUCAUGGCAGCUUUAUUCAUAAGAGCCCAAGCAGGAAACACCCAGGAUGUUUGGAUAAGCCUCAGAGGAAUGGAUAAACAAAUCUGGAAUUGUCACAUGAUGAUCCUGUGGAGGUAUAUUAUUCAGCAAUUAGGUGGGUGAAUCUGAAAACCAUACUAAGGGAAAGAACCUGGAGUUCCCAUCGUGGCUCAGCAGGUUAAUUCAACCCCUAGCCUAGGAAUUUCUGUCUGCCACAGGUGCAAUGGUAAAAAGAAAAAAGAUAAAGAGUACAAAAGUAGUACUAUAUGAUUCCUUCCCUUUUCUAUUUUUUUGGUUUUUAGGGCAGCACCUGUGGCAUAUGCAAGUUCCCAGGCUAGGGGUCGAAUUGGAGCUGCAGCUGCUGGGCCUAUGCCACAGCAGCACAGGAUCUGAGCCACAUUGUCAACCUACAACACAGCUCUCGGCAACGCUGGAUUCUUAACCCACUGUGCAAAGCCAGGGAUUAAACCCACAUCCUCAUGGAUACUAGUCAGGUUCAUUACCACUGAUAACUCCAAUUCCUUCCUUUUAAUGUCUCAAAAACAGGCAAAGUUUGGAG